CGAUUACGGCUCAGUAACACGUAGCUAACCUACCCUUAGGACGUGGAUACCCCCGAGAAAUUGGGGUUAAUCCGCGAUAGAUGUAAUGUCCUGGAAUGGUAUUACGUCUAAAGGUAUUUCAUACAUGUUUGAAAUAUGCCUAAGGAUGGGGCUGCGGCCGAUCAGGCUGUUGGUGAGGUAAUGGCUCACCAAACCUUUGACCGGUACGGGCCAUGAGAGUGGUAGCCCGGAGAUGGACACUGAGACAAGGGUCCAGGCCCUAAGGGGCGCAGCAACCGCGAAACCUCCACAAUGCACUCACGUGCGAUGGGGCUAUCUCGAGUGCCACCUGAUGAAGGUGGCUUUUCCUUGGUCUUCAAAGCCUUGGGAAUAAGAGGGGGGCAAGACUGGUGUCAGCCGCCGCGGUAACACCAGCCCCUCGAGUGGUGGGGAUGAUUAUUUGGCCUAAAGCGUCCGUAGCCGGCCGAGCAAGUCUUCCGUUAAAUCCAGCGUCUCAAGCGUUGGACCGCGGGAGAUACUACACGGCUAGAGAGUGGGAGAGGUCAAGGGUAUUCUGGGGGUAGGGGCGACAUCCUUUGAUCCCCGGAGGACCACCAGUGGCGAAGGCUG
rnacentral:rRNA from 1 species